rnacentral:sRNA from 1 species
UGGUUUACCGGGUUUAUGUAUGCCG